GGACAUUCCCAGAGAAAUUGUGUAAGCCAGUCUCAUCAGAACCAUCCGUCCUUUGAAGUUCUAAGCCCCUCCCCCCCUUGUUAAAUUGGGUUUGACGAGAGCUGCUGCCAAACACAGCCCCUGGGCUGUGUCCACCUGUGCUGUCUACAACUGUGGAGCCACUAGCCAUGGAUCUUGGCACUCUCCCCACCCCAUCUUAUCCCCAAAGCCACUUCAAACCCUGCUCCUCUCCCGCAUACCUCUCAGGAGUUGAGCUAUCCUUUAAUAACCUGGACCUGCUGGUUGGAAUUGCUGUGUUCACUGCAGUCUUGCUCAUGUUGGCUAUUGGCC